GGAAAGAAAGUUCCCCCUGUCAAUGUUACGACUUCAAAACAAUCUGAUGCAAGGCCACCAGACAUGGGCGCUCUUUGUAUAUAGUCAGUAUUUUUUAGGUUUUCAUGUUCAUACCAAUUUAUCCUCUGCUUUACAAUAUGGAUGAGAUGUCACAACUUCCCUGUGGCUGGCUCACAACAUGAUUUCUGGAAGCUUGAUAUCCCAAAGUACCGUAUUUGAUAUUUCGUAGUUGCUGAUUAUUCCAUAUACUGUUUUGGAGGACCAUCAGAUCCUACAGUACUUUGUCAUCCUCCAAGGACUUGAUUCGCUGGAAGUGAGAACAUGGAGGUGAGAAUCCAAGAGGAAUUCGAUCAACUAAUUAUUGAUUUGUGAGGAAUGACCCCCAUUUAUUUUCAAGAGUACCUUGGUAUUGGCUGGUGCAACUCGCGAAACCUAUUUUAUACUAUUCAAGACUCUUAAA
rnacentral:misc_RNA from 1 species